AGUGAACGCUGGCGGUAGGCCUAACACAUGCAAGUCGAACGGCAGCACAGUAGAGGUUGCCCUUACGGGGGGGGAGUGGGCGACCGGUGGGGAAAUAAUUGGAAUCCUACUUUUUGUGGGGGGAAAAGGAGGGGAAACUACGCCUAUACCCCAAUCGAACUACGGGUGAAAGCCGGGGGUUCUUGGACCUUGGGGGGAUGAAUGGAGCGAUGUCGGAUUAGCUAGUUGGCGGGGUAAAGGCCCACCAAGGCGACGAUCCGUAGCUGGUCUGAGAGGAUGAUCAGCCACACUGGAACUGAGACACGGUCCAGACUCCUACGGGAGGCAGCAGUGGGGAAUAUUGGACAAUGGGCGCAAGCCUGAUCCAGCCAUACUGCGUGGGUGAAGAAGGCCUUCGGGUUGUAAAGCCCUUUUGUUGGGAAAGAAAAGCAGCAGGUUAAUACCCCGCUGUUCUGACGGUACCCAAAGAAUAAGCACCGGCUAACUUCGUG
rnacentral:rRNA from 1 species